UAGGGAAUCUUCCACAAUGGACGAAAGUCUGAUGGAGCAACGCCGCGUGAACGAUGAAGGCUUUCGGGUCGUAAAAGUUCCGUUGUAAGGGAAAGAACAAGUGCCGCAGGCAAUGGCGGCACCUUGACGGUACCUUGCGAGAAAAGCCACGGCUAACUACGUGCCAGCAGCCGCGGUAAAUACGUAGGUGGCAAGCGUUGUCCGGAAUUAUUGGGCGUAAAGCGCGCGCAGGCGGCCUCUUAAGUCUGAUGUGAAAGCCCCCGGCUCAACCGGGGAGGGCCAUUGGAAACUGGGAGGCUUGAGUAUAGGAGAGAAGAGUGGAAUUCCACGUGUAGCGGUGAAAUGCGUAGAGAUGUGGAGGAACACCAGUGGCGAAGGCGACUCUUUGGCCUAUAACUGACGCUGAGGCGCGAAAGCGUGGGGAGCAAAACAGGAUUAGAUACCCUGGUA
rnacentral:rRNA from 1 species